AGUAGUGUAUGCUUCUCCUAAAGACUAAGCCAUGCAUGUCUUCGAAUAAGAGGAAGCAAUUCUCUCUGAAUCUGCGAACGGCUCCGCAAACCAGUUGUAAACCAUAGCAAGCAAGCCCGGGUUGGCCCUCACGGGUCAUCUCGGGUAACACGGAUAACCCUGGUAAUUCUGAGGCUAAUACGAGAACGCAAUCCCUGGCUGACCGGGCAACUGGAAGGCUGGGAGGCGUGUGAUCUAUCGCGAGGGAUUAACCGGGAAAGGACGCACGCUUCGACCGCGCAACAAAGGCUAGGGACCCGACCUCACGGAAGGGACCCGACCCCAGCGGCUCUUGCGAUGUGCUUCUGACCUAUCAACUAGAUGGCAGCGUAACGGACAUGCUAUGGUGACAACGGGUACAGAGGAUCAGGG
rnacentral:rRNA from 1 species